rnacentral:rRNA from 1 species
GUCGAGCGAACGGACGAGAAGCUUGCUUCUCUGAUGUUAGCGGCGGACGGGUGAGUAACACGUGGAUAACCUACCUAUAAGACUGGGAUAACUUCGGGAAACCGGAGCUAAUACCGGAUAAUAUUUUGAACCGCAUGGUUCAAAAGUGAAAGACGGUCUUGCUGUCACUUAUAGAUGGAUCCGCGCUGCAUUAGCUAGUUGGUAAGGUAACGGCUUACCAAGGCAACGAUGCAUAGCCGACCUGAGAGGGUGAUCGGCCACACUGGAACUGAGACACGGUCCAGACUCCUACGGGAGGCAGCACUAGGGAAUCUUCCGCAAUGGGCGAAAGCCUGACGGAGCAACGCCGCGUGAGUGAUGAAGGUCUUCGGAUCGUAAAACUCUGUUAUUAGGGAAGAACAUAUGUGUAAGUAACUGUGCACAUCUUGACGGUACCUAAUCAGAAAGCCACGGCUAACUACGUGCCAGCAGCCGCGGUAAUACGUAGGUGGCAAGCGUUAUCCGGAAUUAUUGGGCGUAAAGCGCGCGUAGGCGGUUUUUUAAGUCUGAUGUGAAAGCCCACGGCUCAACCGUGGAGGGUCAUUGGAAACUGGAAAACUUGAGUGCAGAAGAGGAAAGUGGAAUUCCAUGUGUAGCGGUGAAAUGCGCAGAGAUAUGGAGGAACACCAGUGGCGAAGGCGACUUUCUGGUCUGUA